rnacentral:lncRNA from 1 species
CCUGAACCCCACUUUACUCCAACAACAAUUAGAAAAAACCACACCUGAAUCGACAUCUUCUUCGUUGUCUUUCACCCUCCACCCUCGAUCCUCCAUCCACCAUACCCACCACCACCACCAUGAUUACGAAUCUCUAACCCUCUCAAGACUCGCUCGCGACACGCACCGAGUCACCUCGCUCACGACGAAGCUCAAUUUCGCACUCGCCGGAACCAAUAAGUCGGAGUUGAAACCGGUUGUUCAAACUGACUCGAUGUUGCAACCGGAGGAUUUCUCUACUCCGGUUUCCUCCGGGAUAUCUCAG